GGCAGUGUGGAUUAGUGGAUAGAGCAUGGGUCUGGAAGUCAGAAGGACCUGGGUUCUAGUCCUAGCUCUGCCA
rnacentral:tRNA from 1 species